rnacentral:RNase_P_RNA from 1 species
CGAGAAAGUCGGCUUGUUGAUCUCUGCUUCGGCAGGGGUAGGAAAGUCCGGACACCAUAGAGCAGCAAAGCGGAUAACAUCCGUCACCCGUGAGGGUAGGACAAGUGCAACAGAAAGCAAGUACAGUUCGGCUGUAGUGAAACCAGGUAAACUCUUUGCGGUGCAAUGAUAAGUAUAUCGGUUCUUUUCAGUAAUGAAAAUAGGAGUAGCUCGCUCUGAAAGCCGAGGGGUAAUCAGCAAAAGUUUUGCAGCAAUGUAAAACGCAGAUAAAUAACAGGCACUUCUUAGAAGUACAAAAUCCGGCUUAUAGAUUUUCUCGUGAU